CCUACAGGCGGCAGCAGUGGGGAAUAUUGGACAAUGGGGGCAACCCUGAUCCAGCCAUGCCGCGUGUGUGAAGAAGGCCCUCGGGUUGUAAAGCACUUUCAGUGAGGAAGAACGCCUGGUGGUUAAUACCCAUCAGGAAAGACAUCACUCACAGAAGAAGCACCGGCUAACUCCGUGCCAGCAGCCGCGGUAAUACGGAGGGUGCGAGCGUUAAUCGGAAUUACUGGGCGUAAAGCGCGCGUAGGUGGCUUGAUAAGCCGGUUGUGAAAGCCCCGGGCUCAACCUGGGAACGGCAUCCGGAACUGUCAAGCUAGAGUGCAGGAGAGGAAGGUAGAAUUCCCGGUGUAGCGGUGAAAUGCGUAGAGAUCGGGAGGAAUACCAGUGGCGAAGGCGGCCUUCUGGACUGACACUGACACUGAGGUGCGAAAGCGUGGGUAGCAAACAGGAUUAGAUACCCGAGUAGUC
rnacentral:rRNA from 1 species